GAUGAAGAACGCAGUGAAAUGCGAUACGUAAUGUGAAUUGCAGAAUUCAGUGAAUCAUCGAAUCUUUGAACGCAUAUUGCGCUCUCUGGUAUUCCGGAGAGCAUGCUUGUUUGAGUAUCAGUAAACACCUCAACUCCCUUUUCUUUUUUGAAAUGGGAGCUGGACUUGAGUGAUCCCAACACUUUUCUCACUGGAAAGUGGCGGGUCACUUGAAAUGCAGGUGCAGCUGGACUUUUCUCUGAGCUAUAAGCAUAUCUAUUUAGUCUGCCUAAAAAACAGAUUAUUACCUUUGCUGCAGCUAACAUAAAGGAGAUGAGUUCUUGUGCUGACUGAUGCAGGAUUCACAGAGACAGCUUUGCGGCUGACUUUGUAAACUCGAUCUCAAAUCAAGUAAGACUACCCGCUGAACUUAAGCAUAUCAAUAAGCGGAGGA
rnacentral:misc_RNA from 1 species